rnacentral:rRNA from 1 species
UGGGGAAUAUUGGACAAUGGGCGCAAGCCUGAUCCAGCCAUACCGCGUGGGUGAAGAAGGCCUUCGGGUUGUAAAGCCCUUUUGUUGGGAAAGAAAUCCAGCUGGUUAAUACCCGGUUGGGAUGACGGUACCCAAAGAAUAAGCACCGGCUAACUUCGUGCCAGCAGCCGCGGUAAUACGAAGGGUGCAAGCGUUACUCGGAAUUACUGGGCGUAAAGCGUGCGUAGGUGGUCGUUUAAGUCUGUUGUGAAAGCCCUGGGCUCAACCUGGGAACUGCAGUGGAAACUGGACGACUAGAGUGUGGUAGAGGGUAGCGGAAUUCCUGGUGUAGCAGUGAAAUGCGUAGAGAUCAGGAGGAACAUCCAUGGCGAAGGCAGCUACCUGGACCAACACUGACACUGAGGCACGAAAGCGUGGGGAGCAAACAGGAUUAGAUACCCUGGUAGUCCACGCCCUAAACGAUGCGAACUGGAUGUUGGGUCAAUUUUGGCACGCAGUAUCGAAGCUAACGCGUUAAGUUCGCCGCCUGGGGAGUACGGUCGCAAGACUGAAACUCAAAUGAAUUGACGGGGUCAUA